AACUUGAAGAAAGAGACAAUGUGUUUCCAUUUGAUUCCUUUUUAGAUUUGCGUGUGUGCUCCGUUUUUCAUACAAAGUUGCUUUUAAUUUUUAAUGAAUUAAGCAUAAGACACUAAACAGUUAAUGAAAAAAUUUCCUCUUAGUAACGGGUGCGUCUUAUUUAUUUUAUUUUUUUAAUUGUGGAAUUUAAAAUAUGUAGAAAUAGAAUAUGAAACUCAGCAUUCAACCGUAUCUGCGUAAAUUCAAUGCAUCAGAUAAAGCAAAAUCAUGUUGCAAAUACGUAAAUAUACUCGAACAUAGCUUAUGUUUGUUUCAAUCUAUUUGGCGUGUACGACUUGUACGAAAUUUUAUUAAAACGCGCUCGACUCGACCAGUUUUUUUCUGCAAUAUUAGAGACUUUGCUAUUUGUUAUCUGACUUUGAUAUUUGUUAUCUAAUGUUGACCUAUUUUAUGGCAUGAAUGUGGAUUUUUUCUCAUAUUAACAUCUUAUCUGUUAAAUGUCUUUAUUUUCAUACGUCUAUCUAUGAAUUAGCUCAUAUCUGCUUAGAACAAUAAAAUAAAAGUAUUUUAUCUUAC
rnacentral:misc_RNA from 1 species